AAGACUAUAUUUUUAAUGAUCAUUUCUGUAGUUUGUUACUAGAGAAGUUUCUCUGAUCACAGUAGAGCACCAGAAACCAUGAGGAGGAGGUUUCUAGUGUCCUCUCCUGAGCGUGAAGCCAGUUCUUGUUGCUGUUUCGCUGUGACUGUCAUUUGCCAUUGAUGAUCGUUCUUGCUUUCCUUCAGCGGAGCAAGAGGGAAAGGAGGCAGUCUGAGUGGU
ensembl:snoRNA U3 Small nucleolar RNA U3